UACGAAGGGGACUAGCGUUGUUCGGAAUCACUGGGCGUAAAGCGCACGUAGGCGGAUGUGUCAGUCAGGGGUGAAAUCCCGGGGCUCAACCUCGGAACUGCCUUUGAUACAGCACGUCUCGAGUCCGGAAGAGGUGGGUGGAAUUCCUAGUGUAGAGGUGAAAUUCGUAGAUAUUAGGAAGAACACCGGUGGCGAAGGCGGCAACCUGGUCCUUGACUGACGCUGAGGCGCGAAAGCGUGGGGAGCAAACAGG
rnacentral:rRNA from 1 species